GGACCGGUAGUGUAGUGGUAAAACAUUGUGCUCAGACGUGAAGAGGAGUGGUUCGAUUCCCUUCCGGUUCA
rnacentral:tRNA from 1 species